rnacentral:rRNA from 1 species
UACAGAGGGUGCGAGCGUUGUCCGGAAUCACUGGGCGUAAAGGGCGCGUAGGCGGCUUGAUAAGCGUGCGGUGAAAGCCCGGGGCUCAACCCCGGGUCGGCCGUGCGAACUGUCGAGCUGGAGCACUGUAGAGGCAGGUGGAAUUCCGGGUGUAGCGGUGGAAUGCGUAGAGAUCCGGAAGAACACCGGUGGCGAAGGCGGCUUGCUGGGCCAGUUCUGACGCUGAGGAGCGAAAGCGUGGGGAGCGAACAGG